UCAUAAGAGCUGCUCUGUAUCAGUUAUUUGCAAGCAGAGAGGCUCAUCUUGUCCUAGAACUCUUCUUAAGAUUCAAAAGGCAAAGAAGAUGGAGAGGUUCAGUCCUUUUCCUAAGAAUCAUCUUGUUUUAGGCUCAGUCUUCAGUCUUCACAAGAUACAACUGAGUGCCAUGGAGAGAAUACAAAUCUGAGCCGAGACACAACGUUUGCCCGACCAUUGGACAUGCAGGUCAUUUCAGGGUUGUGGUCCUUGAUUUCUUCAUGCUGAUGCUAUAUCAGUUCUGUGAGAGCAGGAGCUCAGUUCAGCACAUUGCCUGACACGUAGCAGAGAGGAACGUAUUUGGAGGAUGAUAAAUGUGUGCAUCUGUAAAAUAGGAGGAAGAUUGUUAAUUCUGAGCACCAAGCAAAAAACAAUACACACACACACACACACACACACACACACACACACGCACGCACGCAUGCAUGCAUGCAAGCAUGCAUGCACAGUGAGUGAUCCCCAAGGUAAGAAAUAAAAGGGAUGGUUGUGGUCUAAGUCCUGAAUUCUGAAUUCCUGUCCCACUCUGCCAUUGCCUUGUUCCAUAGACUUUAGUCAGUCUUUAAUCAUCUUGUUCCUCCGAAUUUUCAGUUUCUAAAUAAGUAAUUGAUUAGUUCUCCGUUUAGUGUGGAUGGGACUGGAGACAGUGAUGUGUGUUUAUGUUGAAUGGAUCUUCCUAUAUGAGACACACUAAAUACAUUUGCAUUGACAUAACUGGUGUGUCUCAGCUGGAAAUUAUCACUGGAAAAUUGCAAACCAUGUCUGAUCCUGGAAUCAGACAACAUUUUUGGUGAUGCUUUGAAAAGUCAUCUGGAAAGGAAAGGGAAGGAGAAGCAUAGAGAAGAGAUGCAUUGUCAGAAGGAGGCAGAAUACAGUGUCAGAUACUGGAAAAAUUAAUGGGCUGAGAGAAGACAUAGGUUCUUAUUCCAGCCCUGCCUUGAAUUCCAAGUGAUAUUUAACAAGUCACUUCCCUCUCUGUGUUCACUCCCCUUCUCUUCUAAGAUGGUAGUUGGAUACCAGAUGAUACCUUUCAACUCUCUGAACACUACCUGGUCAAAUUUGUGCAGCUUACCCCAGCACUUGUAGCCUAGAGCACAGCUACUUGCUGAUUCUGCAGAGCAGGCCAUGCUCUGCUAGGCCAGCAGUCAAGAAGAAUGUAUUUCCUUACAUUCACAGGCACAGUCACCUCCCUAGGGAAAAUAGUUUAGCAACAGUGAGAUGCUGAACCUUGAGUUUGGCAGAAGGUGAGGUCAGACACUCUCUGAAGGGAACUCAUCCUUCGAUAUCCAAGUUACACUUUUAGACAGGUGAGCGUAGGGAAUGAACUCCAGACUUAGGUUAGGAGACUUCAGUCUAAAAGCCAAAUUUGGUACUGACUUCUCUUACCAUCCAGACUACUUCUUCCCAUUUCUGAGUUUCAGUUACCUGCCAUAAAACGAUACUCUUUGCUUUGAUUAUUUCAAAGAGACCUUUGCACUGUGGUCCUCUAUGUCACCUCCUUUCAGUACAGCAGGAUCAAAUGAGGGCAGAAGGGGACCUGGCUGGCAGCCCACUCUUAUAGGCAGCCUGUUUCUCUCUAUAAAGAAAAUCACCACUGAAUGAAUGGUCAGUUUUUAGCUGCCUGCAAUCAGAAGAGAACCCACUUGAGAGAGGAAACUGGGACCAAAUCUCAAGCUGUUGGACAUUUGAUUGCAAAACAAACAAAAGCGAUAAAAAACAGCCUAACCAAAAAAAAUUUUUUUUCAUCUGCUUAGUUUCUAUUGUAUGCCAAGUACUGUAAGCUUGCUCUGGUCUUCACAGGGCCAUCUUUUUUUUUGUCUUGCUCAUCCUGGUUUAGAGGUCAUCUUCCUAAGAGCAGCUCUUACCUGAGAAAAACCUGAAAAGGACGUGAUAGACUCACUUUUAGAUGAGUACCCUGAAGGUCAGUGUAAUCAUUUAAAACUUAAGUUGAGUUAUGUCACCUCCCAGUAUAAACGAGGCAGACACCAUCCCAUCACUGUUGGAAGGGCACUCACUCUGGCUUCUGCCUUUUCCCCAGCUCUGCUCUGUUGCAGCUGUCCUGGCCUCUGCAGAAUGCACUCCAGGCUCUGUCCACUCUGGGAUCCUUUGCACAAGCCAAUUCUUCCCCCAGAAUACUCUUCCUGGCUCUUCAACUGACAGCUUCUUUAAAUCCUUAAGACUUCUGCUGAAAUGUCAUCUCCUCAGAGAGGUAUUUCAAGAGAAUCCUAAGUAAUCCCUCUCCACCAAUUAUUUUUUAUCAUAGCACCAGUUGCCUCCUUCAUGACACAUUUCAUAAUUAAAAUGUUUUAUUUAGUUGCCAACUUGUUCAUUUCGGGCCUAUCUUUCCCACUUGAUUGUAAACUCCAGGAGGGCAGAAUCCAUGACUAGUUAGACACUUACAGUUAACACAGCACAUGACAGAAGCUCGUAUGGGAAGAGAGUGUGUUCAAAGGACAGUGUAAUAUUACUAAAGUGGAAGUAUUUGCUUUCAAAGAUCUCAUCUAAUUAGGAAGAGGCACAAAGAGACCAUCACACUGGUGCGUAAUCUUUCCACUUGCUAUCUGCAUAGGUAUAGACCAUCCUGAGGGGUCAGUGAGGCUUCCAAGGGUGGAGAAGUGAUUUUUGAGUUAUUAUCUCAAAACUAAUUAGGGAUCUACCUGAGAGAGCACCAAGUGAAGGUGAAUCAGUAUGAAUGGUGGUUAAGGUGUAAUGAAUAAGCGUGGAUGAGUCAUUUGUUCAACGUUAAGUGUUUUUAGGUGUUACAGACAUAGGAUCUCUUGAGGGGAACUUGAGGAGAUGAGCCAGAAGUGCCUGAUAUUUAAUAUCCAGGUAUUUAACAUUUUCCUGAAGAUAACAGGGGAAAGGGAAGGAUAUUAAGUAGAUGAAUUAUAAGAUUGGGGUAUAGCUUUUAAAAACUUUUUAAUUAUAAAAAUAAUGCUUAUCACUGUAGAAAACUUGAAGAUAAUAAAAACACAUCAAGAAGCCAAUGAGCUGUAGCUAACAGAGAAGGUGUUGCAGUGCUACCCAGCAUUGGGCUGAGAAGGGUUGGAACAGCCUGGACUGGAGACAGAAGAGUUUUUAGGAGCCUUAGAGGGGAAAGGAGGAAUGGAUGAUGAGCAUCUGAAUCUGCGCAGAGGCUAGGUAAAUGAAUGGAGAAGCCUUGCACAGAAAGGCACAUCUUAGACAAAGAUGGGCAGUGGGUUGUGGGAGAGGUGAAAGAGGACUGUGUUCACUCAUACCUCAUCCCUGGGAGGGAACUGAACACAUCAGAUAUCAGCAUCACACACAGACAUGGACAUUUUAUUGCCUACAAGGGCUGCCAGCCAGGUCACCAUUCUGAUAAACUGAACACCAGUUUACAGCCAACAAAUGCUUAAUGGGCAGAUAUAAGAUAGAUCUGAUUCUUGUUCCCUGGUCAGAAGAUGACCAACUCUUGAAUCUUGUGCAACAGUUUAAAUUUGUAAAGUUUCUUUACCUAUAAAUGAUAGUAGCAAGUUAACACAGAUAAAGCUGUGCAUGGUGGUACACACCUGUAAUCCCAGAAUUCAGGAGGCUGAGGAAGGUGGGUAGCCAUGAGUUCGAGGCCAAUCUGGGUUACAAAAUUAUUUCCAGUACAGCUUUAACUGCAUAGUGAGACCUUGCUUCAAAAAGACAAAAAAAAUAGUUAUCACAGAUAUAGACACUGCAAAAAUGAUAAGAAGUAUAUUGAUUUGAGACACAUAUAAAAGAAAACAUGCUAAGCAUCAAGUCUUAUUAGAGUUAUCUUUGAAUCAUGAUGAUGGCAAUAAAAUUGCCUUGAUGAUGGUGAUAAACACUGAUCAGUCUGUUCUUCCUGAGUAUUUUGAAAAAUGAAAUAUCUCUGAUUCUCAGCUAAUGCCCAAGGUCAAGAAGGUGCAAGACGAAGUGAGAUGAUUCAUAAAUAUUUAGCUCCUAUCCUGUGCCUUCUAUUAUGACAGACUCAUUUGCAUACGUUUUUCAUUUAUUCUUCAUAACAAUCUUAUCAUCUGUGUCUUAUGAACGAGAAAACUGAAGAGGUUAAGUCACUUGCACAAAGUCUCAGAGCAAUUAAGCUGCAGAGCUAAGAUUUGAUCUUAAAACUACAGGGCUUACUCUUGGACUAGGGUUCUCAUAUGAUUUCAUAGUUUCUCAACUGUGAGCCACUCUUUUAUGCUGGAGCAUUUCUGGAUAAACUCGUUCCACAGUCAUCACAGAGGGAGACUGGACAGAAGUCUCAACCAUUGUGUUCUGCACUGUGGUGGCUCCAUAGGUACCCGUCAUCUCUUCGCUUGUUUUAUUAACUAUUUACGAAUUCACCAGUGAACAUUGAGUCAGACACUGUGUUAGACCCUAAGGGUAGAAAGAAAAAAGACCCUAGUAUGAUUAAUGAUACAUAACAGCACUGUGAGUGUUUGAUGUGCCCUUUGAAGGAUGUAAGUCAUAGGUUGUACGUGGCCUUGUCAUACCAGUCGGUGUCUAGCCAGCGGAGAAAUAAUAUCAAAAUUUUCCACAAAGAGAAUUCAAUCAAAAGAAUAACAGCUAGGAAUAAUGAGUUGUUAGAUAACUUAAAAGACCAAAAGGGAAACAACAAAUUGUCACAGAUAGAGCCACUGCCGAAAGGAGCCCCUAUUCCUGGUAUUGGAGGGAUAAAAGGAAGAUGUGGGAAUUAUUAAAAUGCAAAAGUCUCGAUUAGUUUCCUUGCAAAGUUCAAACUUUACCCCAGGGAAGAAAUCCUUUCUCUGGUGGGCAUCUGAGUGUAGAGGAGGGAACCAGUGGGGCUGCAAAUUCUCAGAAGGGAUCACCACUAGGCAGUGCUGGUAUUUCUAAAGGAAUAUAUUGAAGUGUGUUCUGAAACUGAGGGGAAAUCUGAAAUGUGGAUUUGAUUGAUUUUGCAGGAACUGGACUGCUACUACUGGAAUGCAUCAGAAAGACUUGGGGGAUGCUGACAGGAAGAAUAAGCAGACAGGUUGUUUAUAGGAAAAAAAUAGAGGAUAGCGUUUUCUUCUUCCUCAUCCCACCUUGUAGUAUAGGAAAAAUCCAAUAAAGCUCCAUCUGGAAAUGUAGAAAUAAAGUUUGUAGGACCCUACCACACAAUAAUGUAUAAAAGAGUACAUUUGAAGUUAUAAAUAAUAGUGGAGAAGAAUAGAGCGUCAAAAUUUUGAAUGAUUUUAAGAAGAUUCCCUGGAAGGCAUGAUAUACUUUUCAGAGAAAGUCCUGAAUCUUACAGGAUGUGAGUGGGACUAAAAGGAGGAAAUUGUGAUGGUGCUACAAGUUGUUUUAAGAACUGAAAAUGAAGUCCAUAAAACACACAUACACACACACACACACACACACACACACACACACACACAUGACUGAUGUUAGGAAGAUGGUGAAAUGACUUUUGAGCCUUCAUGCCUUUGCAGAGACAUUGAUUUGAACAGCUAUUAAUACACAAAAAUACCUUCAUAAGAAUUAAGAAAUCCAAGCACAGAUGGCAGAAUCUGGGUAGAGCACAAAAACACGAAAAAAAUUCAUUGAUGAAGGUAGAAGGGACAGUUUCACUUUACUUACACUACCCUUCCCCCAAACCCCAGCAGCACCUCAUGGAGAGAUACUGUCACAUGGGAAAAGACAAUGCAGUGACUUUGCCAUAGACCCCAGCACCAGCAACAACCAGUGAACUCAGGUUCCAGGACAAACUCCGUAAAACUUGGCUCCAAGUCUAUUCUAGUGUCAGUCUUGAACCCAUGGUCCCUGGCUUUAAAAUGUCUCUCCCUCCAGGACUCAGGAUCCAAGCUGCUGCAGUGUGAGGCAUGCAACUUUAGACCAGAUUUGAGGCCAUUCGCCACUGAUCCAGUUGCAAUGUCUACACUACUGUAUUCUAGCACCAGGAAAACUUCCAUAUUCCUUUUUGUGACCUUCCUCCAAAGACCCCUUCACUAGGCCUACUCACACUGGUCUUUGUAUAUGAGGACUAUCCACAGCACAAGCUAAUCCCACCAGACAUUACACAUAGGAUCUUUGGAAAAGAUAAAUGGUAAAGUAAUUAACUUUUUGAAAGCCAUGUAUAAAUACUAGGAGAGCACAAAAAGAUUGUAAUUAUUAUAUAUUAUAAACAUAUACCAAUUUAAAAAGACUGAAAGAGGUGUUCACUCCUUUAAAUACAGGUGCCAACAUACGAUCCAAAAUAUUCAGAAAAACAUGAUGCUACCAACGGAUUAAAAGAAGGCACAAAUAACCUACCAAAAAGAAAUAAAGAUCUACAAACAAGCAUCUUAAUCUUGUUUCCCACAGAUCCUUGCUGGUGGCUGACACAUGUUGAGUGACUUAUCCAUGGCUAUGGCAGCUUUUGGUCUUCUGGGGCUCAGAGAGCUGGUGCUGGAGCACCAGCCAGCCUUGUAUUAGGAUCCAGCCCCUUGAUUUGAUGAAGCAUUUGCAAAGCAGGGCAGAGCUAAGGUGAUGGGAACUUAAUGUGAUGAAUGUCCUGCGUGUAGGCUACUGUGCUGGGCUUUACUGUUAGCAGACAAAUAAGGCAUAUUCACUACUCUCUGGAGUGCCCUACUUGAAUUGGGUGACAGAUCUUAUAUAGAAAAAGAUCAAUCACUGUGGAAGGCAGAUAAAUGCCAAAUGAGAGGGAGACACAGUGAGUCCCUUCAAACUAAAAAGACCAUUCACAGGACAUAGUUAGACUCCAUUUUCAGAGAAGGAAAAUGAGGGUCAGAAGAAAUGUGAGGAAAAUGAACGGCCAGGGAAGGGUAGAAGAGACAUGGUGAGGCUGAUGUAUUGUGGUCUAGUUCUCUCCCAUUUCCAGUACAUGGUACCAAUUUAUCUAAGUGUUAUCCAUCUCAUUUUGUUCACGAAGAAUGUGCACUUCAGAGCAGCUAAAUGGCAGAGCGGUUAAAUGGAGUAGAGCUUGAACUCAGAGUCUGUUUGAUUUUCACACUAUGUUUUGAUGGUAGCUCCAGUUAUCACAGAGAGCUGCAAAGAAGAGGUGGCACUUGUGCUGGUUCUUUAAAAAAGAAAAUAAAAGGCACAUGACUGCUGAAGGAAGAGCAUGUCUGUGGCAUUCCAGUGAGGAAUACAGAGGGGCAACAGGUGACCUGCAGGAACCUAGGGUUAGGCUGGGGCUGCAGGUGUCUUUCAGACAAGUUGAGAUGCUUUUUCCCAAAUGGCCUCCUAACUAAAUUGCCUUUCAGCCAUGAGUCCCCUGUCGUGGUUUAUGUUGGUGGCCCCCAGGCCUCAUCAUUUGCAUUGUGCAUUUGUGAUUGGUUCAUUGUCUAGCCCUUGGAUUGGGGGUGUGAGUGCUACAAUGGCCUAGGUGUGGAGCCAAGAUGUAACGUAAUGGCAGGGAAAAAAAAGGUGUGUCUCGCUCUCUUUUACCUGUUUCCUCCUUGCUGUUUGCAGCCGCCAUGAACUGCGGCCCAGCCAUGCGACCGCCUUCGAGCCAACUACGUAGAGACUAAAAUCUCCAAAAACUUAAGAAAUAAACCUUUCCUUUCCCAACUUUGGGCUUCAGGUAUUUUGUCUCAGCGACCAGUAAAACAUAACUAAGACAAAAUUCAGUAUCGAAAGCUUAACUAAAUGGAUUUAGCAAUUCUAUACCCAAGGAUGUUAAAGAAGACCCACCCUAGGGUGGCUCAUCACUUGGAGGUAUAAAAGGGAAGGAGGACAAAUGCAUUCCAUUCUUGGGAGAAGCUCCAGUCUUCACUUUUUGUUUGGACAUCGUCUCCUGGCUUCCAGUGUUGACUCUUCAGCUUUCCAGCAUAGAUUCUUCAGCCUUUCAUCGUAGAGCCUUCAGCCUUCUCUCACAGACCCAUCAGCCUGCUGGUGUGGACUAGGGUGAACUCCAGACCUUGGAUUGAAUCCUUCGGCCUCCAAGGCAUAGACACCCUCUCCAUGCUUCCUCAUUGGACUCUGUGGCUGACCAUCAUAAGCCAAUCUUGUUGUUUCUGUGUAUCUCAUGUUAUAGCUGUUCUGUCUAGUAAAACCGUAACUAAUA